rnacentral:rRNA from 2 species
AUGUUAGAUGCUUGCAUUUAACUGAUUUAACAUUGAGACGAGUGGCGAACUGGUGAGUAACACGUGGGUAACCUGCCCUUGAAGUAGGGGAUAACACUUGGAAACAGGUGCUAAUACCGUAUAACAACCAAAACCACCUGGUUUUGGUUUAAAAGAUGGCUUCGGCUAUCACUUUAGGAUGGACCCGCGGCGUAUUAGCUUGUUGGUAAGGUAACGGCCUACCAAGGCAAUGAUACGUAGCCGACCUGAGAGGGUAAUCGGCCACAUUGGGACUGAGACACGGCCCAAACUCCUACGGGAGGCAGCAGUAGGGAAUCUUCCACAAUGGACGAAAGUCUGAUGGAGCAACGCCGCGUGAGUGAUGAAGGGUUUCGGCUCGUAAAACUCUGUUGUUGGAGAAGAACAGGUGUGAGAGUAACUGUUCACAUCUUGACGGUAUCCAACCAGAAAGCCACGGCUAACUACGUGCCAGCAGCCGCGGUAAUACGUAGGUGGCAAGCGUUGUCCGGAUUUAUUGGGCGUAAAGCGAGCGCAGGCGGUUUCUUAGGUCUGAUGUGAAAGCCUUCGGCUUAACCGGAGAAGUGCAUCGGAAACCAGGAGACUUGAGUGCAGAAGAGGACAGUGGAACUCCAUGUGUAGCGGUGAAAUGCGUAGAUAUAUGGAAGAACACCAGUGGCGAAGGCGGCUGUCUGGUCUGUAACUGACGCUGAGGCUCGAAAGCAUGGGUAGCGAACA